GGAAGGCAUGGCAAAAUCUGAGAUGGGCCAGAAAGAUAGGCUUCUUGGGCCCAUUAGACAAGUUGUGAAUGCAAAAGAUAAAUCUUGAAGGAAAUUAAAAGUGCUACUCCAGUGACUACACAAUGAUAAGAAAACAAAAGAACCCUAUUUCUGAUAUAAAGUUUUAGUGGUCUGGAUAAAAGAUUGAAACAGGCCCAACAUUCUCUUAAGCCAAAACCGUAUCCAGAGCAAAGCCGUAACUCCAAUUCCGUGAAGUCAGAGAGGUGAAGAAGUUGUGGAAGAAAAGUUUGAAGCUAGCAGAGGCUGGUUCAUGAGAUUUAAGGAAAACACCCAUCUCCAUAACAUUAAAGUGCAAAGUGAAGCAGCAAGAGUUGAUGUACGAACUGCAGCAAGUUGUCUGGAAGAUCUAGCUGAGAUAAUUGAUGAAGGGGCUAUGCUAAAUAGCAAGUAUUUAAGGUAGACAAAAUAGCCUUCUAUUGGAAGCAGAUGCCAUCUAGGCCUUUCAUAGGCUAGAGAGAAGUCAAUGCCUGGCUUCAAAGCUUCAAAAAAGACUGACUUGUGAGGGGUUUAUGCAGCUGGUGACUUUAAGCUGAAGCCAAUACUCAUUUACCAUUUCGAAAAUCCUAGGGCCCUUAAAAAUUAAGCUAAAUCUACUCUGCCUGUGCUCUAGAAAUAGAACAGCAAAGCAUGGAUGACAGCACAUCUCUAUAGCAUAACGCAUCUAAUAUUUUAAACCCACUGUUGAGACCUAUUGCUCAG
rnacentral:lncRNA from 1 species